AGCGAACGCUGGCGGCAGGCUUAACACAUGCAAGUCGAGCGGGCGUAGCAAUACGUCAGCGGCAGACGGGUGAGUAACACGUGGGAACGUACCUUUUGGUUCGGAACAACACAGGGAAACUUGUGCUAAUACCGAAUAAGCCCUUACGGGGAAAGAUUUAUCGCCGAAAGAUCGGCCCGCGUCUGAUUAGCUUGUUGGUGAGGUAACGGCUCACCAAGGCGACGAUCAGUAGCGGUCUGAGAGGAUGAUCAGCCACACUGGGACUGAGACACGGCCCAGACUCCUACGGGAGGCAGCAGUGGGGAAUCUUGCGCAAUGGGCGAAAGCCU
rnacentral:rRNA from 1 species